GUCUUCGUGGUGUAGUGGUCAGCACACUCGACUGGUAUUCGAGAGGUCCUUCGAGUCCCGGCGACGGCA
rnacentral:tRNA from 1 species